UUGACCUCGAAUCAGGUAGGAAUACCCGCUGAACUUAAGCAUAUCAAUAAGCGGAGGAAAAGAAACCAACAGGGAUUGCCCCAGUAACGGCGAGUGAAGCGGCAACAGCUCAAAUUUGAAAUCUGGCUCUCGGGCCCGAGUUGUAAUUUGUAGAGGAUGCUUUUGGUGAGGUGCCUUCCGAGUUCCCUGGAACGGGACGCCAUAGAGGGUGAGAGCCCCGUCUGGUUGGACACCGAUCCUCUGUAAAGCUCCUUCGACGAGUCGAGUAGUUUGGGAAUGCUGCUCUAAAUGGGAGGUAUAUGUCUUCUAA
rnacentral:rRNA from 2 species